rnacentral:snRNA from 1 species
GGAUAUAUUUCUAGGCUCUCUAUUAUCUUCCAGUCCCUUGAUUUCUAGGACUGACUCAGGGACCUGACUCACUGAGUGAGUGUCCAUUUGCUCCCAUACCACUCCAUAUGCACUCCUCUGGAAGUUGGGGACUUGGACAGAGUCUGGCUCUCCGCCACAGAGGGGAACCAUUCUUUCACCACAAGUAUUCUACUAGAUGCAAUUCCCUGCUAGAACCUCCAAAAAAGCUCUCAAGACCAUUUUACAACCUUUCUGGAGGUUCCAUUAAAUAAUUUUGAACAUUGGGGUUGAUGUUGAUACUGUGUCCUAGUAA